AUGAAAUAUUCAGCUUUAAAAUGCCUGAAAGUCGGAAGUUAGAACGGAAGCACAAAGAUUUGUUGUCAUGGAGAUGAUACACCGUCUCGUCGCAUUGGUGUGAACUGGCAGGUUUCAGAACGUUGCAGACCGGCGUGUUCCAAGUAGUUUCAGCUCGU